rnacentral:tRNA from 1 species
AAAUAUAAAACUAAAAAGUAAUCAGUUUCGACCUGAAAAUUUGAUAAUUUCAACUUAUCUAUAUUUA